CCCGGGGGCGCUAUAUUGCCUUCAUCCAUUCUCAAACUUUAAAUAUGUAAGAAGCCCUUGUUACUUAGUUGAACGUGGGCAUUCGAAUGUAUCAACACUAGUGGGCCAUUUUUGGUAAGCAGAACUGGCGAUGCGGGAUGAACCGAACGCGAGGUUAAGGUGCCAGAGUAGACGCUCAUCAGACACCACAAAAGGCGUUAGUACAUNUUGACAGCAGGACGGUGGCCAUGGAAGUCGGAAUCCGCUAACCACUGUGUAACAACUCACCUGCCGAAUGUACUAGCCCUGAAAAUGGAUGGCGCUCAAGCGUCUCACCCAUACCUCGCCCUCGGGGUAGAAACGAUGCCCCGAGGAGUAGGCGGACGUGGAGGUCGUGACGAAGCCUAGGGCGUGAGCCCGGGUCGAACGGC
rnacentral:rRNA from 1 species